AUUGAACGCUGGCGGCAUGCCUUACACAUGCAAGUCGAACGGCAGCACGGGAGCAAUCCUGGUGGCGAGUGGCGAACGGGUGAGUAAUAUAUCGGAACGUGCCCAGUCGUGGGGGAUAACGUAGCGAAAGCUACGCUAAUACCGCAUACGAUCUAUGGAUGAAAGCGGGGGAUCGCAAGACCUCGCGCGAUUGGAGCGGCCGAUAUCAGAUUAGGUAGUUGGUGAGGUAAAGGCUCACCAAGCCGACGAUCUGUAGCUGGUCUGAGAGGACGACCAGCCACACUGGGACUGAGACACGGCCCAGACUCCUACGGAGGCAGCAGUGGGGAAUUUUUGGGACAAUGGGCGGCGAAGCCUGAUCCAGCAAUGCCGCGUGCAGGAUGAAGGCCUCGGUGUAACGUAGCUUUGUUACGG
rnacentral:rRNA from 1 species